UUAGGGCUAGGUUCACACUCACACAGACAUUCUCUUUGCUUUGCUCACAUAGCUACUGUCGUCACUCACUUCUCCCUCACCAUCGACGUCGCUCCUUCCUCACCGGGGUCUCUCUUUUCACUCAUCGGCGUCUUCUUUCUCCCUCUCCGGCUCACCCUCUCUCAAAUCGUUGUACGAAGACAAACCAAAGUUCAAAUCAUCACCUUCGUAAACACAAUUGUACGAAGACAAACCAAAGUUUGAAUAAGUUUUCACCUCCCAAUCGACUCUCUCUCGGGUACCGGUGAUAUACCUCUGCAAGGCACUAACUUGGGAGGACUCGGAGCUGAGACUCCAUUUUUGUUUUAUAGCUAUUUAUUAAAUGUAAGCCCAGGGCUAUUUUUGUGUUGAGUUGAAUUUUAAUAAUCAAAUAUGCACACUUGAUGUGGGUUUGAAGUUUUGAUA